UACGAAGGGGGCUAGCGUUGCUCGGAAUCACUGGGCGUAAAGCGCACGUAGGCGGACUCUUAAGUCGGUGGUGAAAUCCUGGAGCUCAACUCCAGAACUGCCUUCGAUACUGAGAGUCUCGAGUCCGAGAGAGGUGAGUGGAACUGCGAGUGUAGAGGUGAAAUUCGUAGAUAUUCGCAAGAACACCAGUGGCGAAGGCGGCUCACUGGCUCGGUACUGACGCUGAGGUGCGAAAGCGUGGGGAGCAAACGGGG
rnacentral:rRNA from 1 species